rnacentral:rRNA from 1 species
GAUGAACGCUGGCGGCGUGCCUAAUACAUGCAAGUCGAGCGAACAGACGAGGAGUUUGCUCCUCUGACGUUAGCGGCGGACGGGUGAGUCACAUGUGGAUAACCUACCUAUCAGACUGGGAUACCUUCGGGAAACCGGAGCUACUACCGGAUAAUAUAUUGACCCGCAUGGUUCAAUAGUGAAAGACGGUUUUGCUGUCGGUUAUAGAUGGAUCCGCGCCGCAUUAGCUAGUUGGUAAGGUAACGGCUUACCAAGGCAACGAUGCGUAGCCGACCUGAGAGGGUGAUCGGCCACACUGGAACUGAGACACGGUCCAGACUCCGACGGGAGGCAGCAGUAGGGAAUCUUACGCAAUGGGCGAAAGCGUGACAGAGCAACGCCGCGUGAGUGAUGAAGGUCUUCGGAUCGUAAAACGCUGUUAUUAGGGAAGAACAAAUGUGUAAGUAACUAGGCACGUCAUGACGGUACCUAAUCAGAAAGCCACGGCUAACUACGUG